rnacentral:rRNA from 1 species
UGGGGAAUUUUGGACAAUGGGCGAAAGCCUGAUCCAGCAAUGCCGCGUGUGUGAAGAAGGCCUUCGGGUUGUAAAGCACUUUUGUCCGGAAAGAAAUCCUUGGCUCUAAUACAGUCGGGGGAUGACGGUACCGGAAGAAUAAGCACCGGCUAACUACGUGCCAGCAGCCGCGGUAAUACGUAGGGUGCAAGCGUUAAUCGGAAUUACUGGGCGUAAAGCGUGCGCAGGCGGUUUGCUAAGACCGAUGUGAAAUCCCCGGGCUCAACCUGGGAACUGCAUUGGUGACUGGCAGGCUAGAGUAUGGCAGAGGGGGGUAGAAUUCCACGUGUAGCAGUGAAAUGCGUAGAGAUGUGGAGGAAUACCGAUGGCGAAGGCAGCCCCCUGGGCCAAUA